GUCUUAGUCCAGGGUCCUGGUACAGAGUUUCUAAGACCUGUGGAAUGUCUGGAGUGAUAAAAAUAGCUUUGUAUGCCCAUAAGAUGACUAGUGGCUGGUAGGCUGUAGAUAACCUAAGGAUCAUGGCUGGUCCAGAAAGAUGGAGGCAUGAUUAAAGGAUUGAAACUUUCGCACACGUCAAACUCUAGGAAGGCAGAUAGGCUGAGGGUUAAGUUGAUAACCAGUGGCUACGAGUAAAGCCUCUAUGAGAACCCCAAAAGUGUGGGUUUGGGGAGCUUCAGGGUAGCUGAACAUGUUGAGGUUCUUGGGCAUGGAAGCUCUGCACCUUUCCCACCAUACUGUGUCCUAUCCAUCUCUUUAUCUGACCAUCCAUCUAUGUACUUUGUAAUAUUCUUUAUAAGAAACUAGUAAACACAGGGAAGUAUUUCUUUGCAUUCUUUGAGUGAUCCCAGCAAAUUCCCUCCCUCAAGGAGGAGGUAGCCAGUUGGUCAUAGGUGUAUGUGACAACCUACAACCUACUACCUGUGACUGGCUUCUGGACUUGGGAAUGUAUUGUGGGACUGAGCCCUCAACCUGUGGAAUGACAGUAUCUCCAGCGAGAUGGUAAAAUAGGUCACAGAAUUUGUGACCUUUGAGGAUGUGGCUGUGGACUUUACCCAGCAGGAGUGGGCUUUGCUGGAUCUCGCUCAGAGGAGCCUCUACAGAGAUGUGAUGCUGGAAACCUCCCAGAACCUGGUCUCACUAGGUAAGAUUGGCAAUGUUGUUCAUGUAGGGUUUAGAAAACAGUUUUAUCUACUAGUUGACCUUGUUCCAGGAUCUGUGCUGAGGAGUGGGAGUACUUGGUAAAUAAGAUAAACGUGGUCAUUGAUCACAGGGUGCCUACGAUCUGGAGGCUUCUUCAUGAAAAUGAACACGGGCAUAUUAAACUUGUUUUUUUCUUUUUCUUUUUGUGGUUGAAAGCCUUGAGGCUUAUUAAGUGUUGAAUGUGUGGGCAUUGAGGGGCUUCUUUGGGGCACAGGGAGAGUUUGUGAUUUGUGACCUUUGAAGAUUCUACUGCCGUGAAUGCCUUUUACUAAGAGACCACCAGGAGCACAUCUGUAAGUUAAAGAAGCGGGGUUUAUUUUGCAGUCAUGGGAGAACAUACCCAUGGGGAGUCGAGGGGCAUCUAAAAAGAGGGCAUUAGAAAUACCUAUUAGAGAAUUUGUGCUGCUUUUUGGAUGAUUUAGUGAUGAGUCUAUGGGGUAGAUAAUGUUAGUUUCUUAAGCCUGUCUGUGAACCAGUACCACAAACUGGUGGGUAAAAAGUAUAGAAAUUUUUAUUCUUUCAUAUUUCUGGCAUCUGGGAGUGUGAAACAAGGUAUCAUUGGAGCUAUAUUCUUUCUAAAGCUUCUAAGGAAAAAGUCCCUCCCUGUCACUUUGUACCUUCAGGUGGUUGCUGGCAGACCUUUUUGUUUAUAGAUGUAUCACUCUAGUCUCUGCCUCCACCAUUACCUUCCCUGUGUACCUCUUUCUAAUCUCUGUCCAUAUAGGGACAUCCGUCAUUGGAUUUAGGAUCCAUCUUAAUCCAGAAUAACCUCAUCUUAACUUUAGUAUAUUGACAAAGACCUUGUUUCUGUAUAAGGCAACAUUCUAAGGUUCUAGGUGGAUAUAUUUUUUAAAAAAAUUCAAACUAUUUUUAGAUGAAGUUUUAGUUAAUAACAAAAAUGAAUGGAAGGUAGAGAGAUUUUUCUACUCCCAAACAUGGAUAGCCUCACCAGAAUGGUAAUUUUUUAAAAAAAUUAAUGGACCUAUGUUGAUAUUUCAUCAUCACUUAGAAUUCAUUCUUUGUAUUUAGAUUUUUUGUCUUGGUACCAUGAAUUGAACCAAGGGGAACUUAACCACUGAGCCAAAUUCCAGUCCUUUUUGUUUUUAAUUUGGGACAGAGUUAGCAAGUUGCUUAGGGCCUCUUUAAGUUGUUGAGGCUGGCUUUGAACUUGGUGAUCCUCCUGCCUUAGUCUCUCAAAUGGCUGAGAUUUUAGGUAUGUGCCAUCAUAUCUGGUCAUUUCUUCUUAGUGGGUACUUUUUUUUUUUUAAGUUAUACUUUAUUUCUAAAAGUAUAACUACACCAUUUCCCUUAAUUACCUUUUUACUCUUUUAUCAAGAUAUACAUACACUAAUGUGCAUGAAGUGCCAAUCUAUGUACAGCUUGAUGAAAUUUCACGUGGAUGUAUACAUCCUGGUGGACACACUUCUAGGAUUCCAGGAAGUUCAUUUAUCCCCUUUCUCAAUAAUCACACCAAAGAGGAAACCCAAUUUUGACUCUUACUAUACUUGAUUUGGUUUGAUUGUUCUUGCUUUUAGAUAAAUGUUAAACUAUAAUAUGUACAGUGAUUUGUUUGGCUUCUUUAACUCAACAUAAUGCCUGGUUUGUCCUUUAGUUGGUCUUUUGGUAGACUUACAUACUUACUUCUCUUGGUAUAUGCUAUAUGUGAGGUAAUGCAAUUACUGAAUGAUAGGGCAGACUUCAUGUAUAGUUUUGGUAGAUGCUUUAGUUUUUUAAAAAUGUUAGUUUCAGCUGUAAUCCCCCAACACCAUGUAAGUUUUAGCAGUUUCACACACCUGGCCCAUGCUUAGAAACUUUAGCCAUUCAUUAGAGUCUGUAGUGAUAUUAUGCAUUUUUCUGAUAUGUAAUGGUUUAGCGUACUUUUUUGUGUGCUUAUUGGUUAUUUGGACAUCUUUAUGAAGGCACUUUUUGAAGCAAUUCACCCAUUUAUUGUCCUCUCUCUUUUUUAAAAAUUUGAAUGCUUUCCUUCUGGUUAGUUGUCUAAUUGUAUGUAUAUGUUAUAUGUAUUUUGUAUCUUGAUACAUACACAUCCACCUAUCUGUAUUAACAAACACAUACACACACAUAUAUACGUAUUGUAUAUAUGUUCAUAAAAAUGCAUAUAUAUUAUAUCAGAUAACUUCUUCCAGUCUUUGGGUAGUUUCUUCACUCAAUUUUUUUUUUCUAUAAAGUGUAUUUAUUUAUUUGACUUCAGUGAUGUACACCACAGUCAUUCCCAUGCUCAACCCCUUCAUAUAUAGCCUGAGGAACAGGGACAUCAAGAGGGAGGUUCCUCAGAAUACAGUGUUCAUAUUGGAUAAGCCAGUGAAACCAAACUUGUGGAACCCUCAACUCUGCCCAUCUGGUUCUGUAGUUUUUGUCGCUCUCAUGUCUUUCAAUUUUCUCAAUAUCUCCUAUAUGAACACUGCUUCUUUUGGUACAUCUGUAAUGGCAUUGAUGGAGUAUUAUGGGAUGUUGUCUACAUUAGUCACUGUAUAACUGAAUUCUGCAACAUCUAUAUAACCUUCUUUAUUUUUCAUCUAUGGCCCGAGCAUCUUGGAGAAAUGCACAAAUGUUUUGGAAAAGUAAUUUCAAUCUUCAUCCCUUUCAAAAAUUCAUACCUCUUUUCUAUUCUACUUUCAUGUCUUUUAGAUAUAUUUAGGUAUGUUAAGUGUAAGGAUGAACAUAACUGGUCCUCAGCCUAGGUGCUCUCGUUUGGUUCCAGUGACUCAAAACUCCAUGUGUUGGUAGCUUGGUCCUCAGAGUGGUGAUAUAGUAGGUGGUGGAACCUUUGAGCGGUGGGGUACCAGAAAUUAAAUAUGUUAUUGGGGAGUGUCCUUGAAAGUGAUUAAUGCUGGUCUCAAGGAAUAAGUUAGUUCUCAUGAGAGUGGUUUGUUAUAAAGGAGCAAGGCUGGCCCCUCCCUGCUCUCCGGGGUCCUGCUUACCAUGUGAUCUUUCCUUUUCUGUGUGCUUUCUACAUGAUGCCAUCUGCUAUGAUGUGACAUAGUCACGAGAACCUCUCAACAGAGCUGAUGUCAUGCUAUUUGGACUUUCUGCCUUCAAACUAAACUACAUAAAUCUCUACUUUAUAAAGUACCUAGCUUCAGGUAUUAAUUUUUUUAUGCUGGGGAUUAAACCCAUCGGUGCUUUACUACUGAGCUACAUCCCCAGUUAUUUUUUAUUUUUUGUUUUGAGACAAGGUGUCACUAAGUUGCUGAGGUUGGCCUUAAAUUUGUGAUUCUCUUGCCUCAGCCUCUGGAGUCACUGGGAUUACAGGUGGGUGCUACUGUACCUGUAUCAGGUGUUUUGUUAUGGCCACAGAAAAUACAGGAAUACAUUUGUCUUCAUGUUGGAGUCAUUUGGGGAGACUUAAAAAUAUUGAUCAUUGUAUCUCACUGCAAAUUCUGAUUAAUUGGACUGUAAUGUGGCUUAGCCUGAAGAUUUUUAUGUGAUGCAGGUUGUUUUAAUGUGCCACCAAGGUUGAGAACUAUUGCUCUAACCCCAUGACUAGUUCAAAGAUGAUUAUUGUGUUUGAUUCUUUUACUAGUCAGCAUAACUAAAGAUCUUUUUUUGGUACUGG
rnacentral:lncRNA from 1 species